UGAGCACUCGAGGAUGACCCUCCUCGGGCAGC
rnacentral:piRNA from 2 species